ACAGGUAGAGGAGCUACUAAAGGAAGUAAGGCUGUCAGAGAAGAAGAAGGAUCGGAUUGAUGCCUUCCUACGGGAGGUCAACCAGCGGGUCGUGAGGGUGCCCUCAGUCCCUGAGACAGAGCUCACUGACCAGGCAUGGCUCCCAGCUGGGGUUCGAGUGCCCCUCCACCAAGUGCCCUAUGCUGUGAAGGGCUGUUUCCGCUUUCUGCCCCCAGCCCAGGUUACUGUUGUGGGCAGCUACCUUCUGGGCACCUGCAUCCGACCAGACAUCAAUGUGGAUGUGGCA
rnacentral:lncRNA from 1 species